rnacentral:rRNA from 1 species
UGGGGAAUAUUGGACAAUGGGGGGAACCCUGAUCCAGCCAUGCCGCGUGUGUGAAGAAGGCCUUUUGGUUGUAAAGCACUUUAAGCGAGGAGGAGGCUCUCUUGGUUAAUACCCAAGAUGAGUGGACGUUACUCGCAGAAUAAGCACCGGCUAACUCUGUGCCAGCAGCCGCGGUAAUACAGAGGGUGCGAGCGUUAAUCGGAUUUACUGGGCGUAAAGCGUGCGUAGGCGGCUUUUUAAGUCGGAUGUGAAAUCCCCGAGCUUAACUUGGGAAUUGCAUUCGAUACUGGGAAGCUAGAGUAUGGGGGAGAAUGGUAGAAUUCCAGGUGUAGCGGUGAAAUGCGUGGAGAUCUGGAGGAAUACCGAUGGCGAAGGCAGCCAUCUGGCCUAAUACUGACGCUGAGGUACGAAAGCAUGGGGAGCAAACAGG